rnacentral:tRNA from 1 species
GGGGAUAUAGCUCAAUCGGCAGAGCAGGAAACUCUUAAUUUCAAGGUUGUAGGUUCAAUCCCUACUAUCCCCA